rnacentral:rRNA from 1 species
UAGAUUAGAUAGUUGGUGGGGGUAACGGCCUACCAAGUCUACGAUCUAUAGCUGUUUUAGAGGAUGAUCAGCAACACUGGACUGAGACACGGCCCAGACUCCUACGGGAGGCAGCAGUGGGGAAUCUGGACAAUGGGGGCAACCCUGAUCCAGCCAUGCCGCGUGAGUGAUGAAGGCCCUAGGGUCGUAAAGCUCUUUCGCCAGAGAUGAUAAUGACAGUAUCUGGUAAAGAAACCCCGGCUAACUCCGUGCCAGCAGCCGCGGUAAUACGGAGGGGGUUAGCGUUGUUCGGAAUUACUGGGCGUAAAGCGCGCGUAGGCGGAUCGGAAAGUUGGGGGUGAAAUCCCGGGGCUCAACCCCGGAACUGCCUCCAAAACUAUCGGUCUAGAGUUCGAGAGAGGUGAGUGGAAUUCCGAGUGUAGAGGUGAAAUUCGUAGAUAUUCGGAGGAACACCAGUGGCGAAGGCGGCUCACUGGCUCGAUACUGACGCUGAGGUGCGAAAGUGUGGGGAGCAAACAGGAUUAGAUACCCUGGUAGUCCACACCGUAAACGAUGAAUGCCAGUCGUCGGGUAGCAUGCUGCUCGGUGACACACCUAACGGAUUAAGCAUUCCGCCUGGGGACGUACGGUCGCNAGAUUAAAACUCAAAUGAAUUGACGG